rnacentral:rRNA from 1 species
UGGGACUCUUGAAGUCUUAGUGGCGCAGCUAACGCACUAAGUAGACCGCCUGGGGAGUACGGCCGCAAGGUUAAAACUCAAAUGAAUUGACGGGGGCCCGCACAAGCGGUGGAGCAUGUGGUUUAAUUCGACGCAACGCGAAGAACCUUACCUGGCCUUGACAUGCAGAGAACUUUCCAGAGAUGGAUUGGUGCCUUCGGGAACUCUGACACAGGUGCUGCAUGGCCGUCGUCAGCUCGUGUCGUGAGAUGUUGGGUUAAGUCCCGUAACGAGCGCAACCCCUAUCCCUAGUUGCUAGCAGUUCGGCUGAGAACUCUAGGGAGACUGCCGGUGACAAACCGGAGGAAGGUGGGGAUGACGUCAGGUCAUCAUGGCCCUUACGGCCAGGGCUACACACGUGCUACAAUGGUGCGUACAGAGGGCUGCAAACCCGCGAGGGGGAGCUAAUCUCACAAAACGCAUCGUAGUCCGGAUCGGAGUCUGCAACUCGACUCCGUGAAGUCGGAAUCGCUAGUAAUCGCGAAUCAGAAUGUCGCGGUGAAUACGUUCCCGGGCCUUGUACACACCGCCCGUCACACCAUGGGAGUGGAUUGCACCAGAAGUGGUUAGUCUAACCUUCGGGAGGACGAU